GGAGUAAAGAAAGUCAAGGAAAGCGAAGGCUAGGGCAUUAAAUAAGUCACUAAAUGGCUAAAUUAGCAUAGGAAGGUUGUAGGCGGUUCACAGAUUGACUGUGUUAAGGUUAAUAAGUGCAGCAAUGAGAAGAAAAUUGUUCAACAAUGCCUGUGAAACACUUGGAAAAUAUGUGGAUAUCCUGGACACUAUGAUUAUACAAACUCUGGAUAUUGCUACAUACCUCUUUAACUACCCAUAAGACAUAUCAAUAUGGAGCCUCUGUAAAGAAUUUUGGAAAGUAUUUAUAGACCCCCAGAUGUGUAAAUGCACUGAUUUUCAAAUAACAAGACACAAUGGAGAGAAGGUCAACCAAAACACCGGUGCUUUACUCAUCUUGCUUUCAGCACUUCAUGCUUGCAUUUUAAU